UACAGAGGGUGCGAGCGUUGUCCGGAAUCACUGGGCGUAAAGGGCGCGUAGGUGGCGGCCCAAGUCCAUGGUGAAAGCUCGAUGCUCAACAUCGAGUCGGCCACGGAUACUGGGUUGCUCGAGCACUGUAGGGGCAGAUGGAAUUCCGGGUGUAGCGGUGGAAUGCGUAGAGAUCCGGAAGAACACCGGUGGCGAAGGCGGUCUGCUGGGCGAGUGCUGACACUGAGCGCGACGAGCGUGGGAGCAAC
rnacentral:rRNA from 1 species